CGCGACAGCAUCUCAUCCUUCUGUGCGUCAUGAUCCAGAGGAGUCGACGGCUGAGUGGAUUCUUAGCAAAUCCCAUUUUCGAAUUCCACAAUAAAUAAUAUGAAUACAUGACUGCAGCUGUAUUUCUAGUGUACAUAAUAUAUUAUGGCUAUUGGCAGUCAAAGUCGAUCGGAGAAAUAUGGAAGAUCUCACAGUCACGACCGUUUCAUCAAAACAAGGAAACCACGGAUAGAAGCAGGACCUGAUAUUCACCGUACCACCAAUGAUCCGGCAUAGCACGAUUACUAGUAAAAUUUAAUGGGUUCUGAAGGGCUGCGAAGUGAGUCACGUAUCUUCACAGUCGUCCGAGCCGUUAUAAUUUUACUUUUGUAACAACACUGAACUUGAGAGAUUCAGGUUCAUCCGACGUUUUCAUUGUUACUCAUAUUUUGGUUUGAACUUUCAAGGACAGAAACAAAGCAUUGAUAUUUUGUUUAGUUAUUACUGAAAUUUGAUCUUUUGAUGUUAUUAGCGCGCAUUGACAGCAACUGCUUGACAAUAAAGUAAUUAUUUAAAGAA